GGAGCAGGAGACUUGUGCACCAGCAGCGUUAUGAAACACUUCCAGAGGAGCCCGAGAUGGAGGAGAUGGACCUUCCAGAGGUUGCGAGCAUCAAGCUCGUCCCCUCCAGGUCGAUUCGGCAGAAGCUCGAAGACGAAGCCCUCAGAGCUCCUCAAACAUCCGCACAGCCAGACUCACCUGCAGGUCUCCAGAGGACCCCCGAGGCCUCUGAACCGGGUCACAUGACCCCGCCAAACCCGAAAGUGACUCUGGGAAGCAUCACAUCGUCUGGGACGGAGUCGGACCCAACGGUCAGCUGUGAUGAGGAGGAGGAGGAGGAAGAGUUGUCUGUAACCCCCAGCAGCAGUCUUCCCUCCCCAGAGCUCCUGAGAGCAGGCGGCUGUGCAGAAGCGAUGAGGUCCUUUAAGGAGGAGCUGCUGGGUCUCCAUCUUCACGUAAAAAACUCCACCCUGCUGGAUGUGAGCCAUGCUGAGAGCAUCCGCAUGCAUCACUCCCCCAACCUCUCCCACAUCCUCGGAACCUCUACGAUUCAAGCUGAAAAGAACGGUGAGAUCAACAGAGAACCUGAUGCAGAGACCAACAUACACGCAGACCCAUUUAAAUCAGAGUGGAAAACCCCUCCAAAAGCAGGAGAGUCACCCGUCUGUCCAUCCCGUGAAGACGCCAUGGACGACAUUGGAGACAGAAUUCUGCUCCCUGGGCCCACCAGCAGAAGGCCCAUCAUGUACAAGAAGAAGGUCUCAUUCAAGGUCCCCGUGACGGCUGAGGCCCCCGAGCCAAAACUGAGCGCCCGAGAAGACGCAGAGCGACCGGCGUCCGACGCCACGUUCUUUGACUUCAAGGACGCCGCCGACAGGAACGCCUUCUUUGAGGGGCUGAGGACGAGGUGUGAGGAGCUAAGACGUGCUCCGCUGU
ensembl:lncRNA